CCAAUAGCGUAUAUUAAAGUUGUUGCAGUUAAAAAGCUCGUAGUUGAAUUUCGAGAUCAAAUUGUUGGUCGUGCCUCGGUACGUACUGGCAUUAUUGAUUUCUCCCUUCUGAAGAACCUUGAUGUCAUUAAUUUGGUGUCUUGGGGAAUCAGGACCGUUACUUUGAAAAAAUUAGAGUGUUUAAAGCAGGCUCACGCUUGAAUACAUUAGCAUGGAAUAAUGAAAUAGGACGUUUGAUUCUAUUUUGUUGGUUUCUAGGAUCGACGUAAUGAUUAAUAGGGAUAGUUGGGGGCAUUAGUAUUCAAUUGUCAGAGGUGAAAUUCUUGGAUUUAUUGAAGACUAACUACUGCGAAAGCAUUUGCCAAGGAUGUUUUCAUUAAUCAAGAACGAAAGUUAGGGGAUCGAAGACGAUCAGAUACCGUCGUAGUCUUAACCAUAAACUAUGCCGACUAGGGAUCGGAUGAUGUUAAUUUUUUAAUGACUCAUCCGGCGCCUUACG
rnacentral:rRNA from 1 species